GUAGGUGAACCUGCGGAAGGAUCAUUAACACGUAUCCAAACGUAAAACCCCCCCGUGAACAUUCAUAACCCUGCUGCUCUCCGUGUCUAGACGGUGAUAUUUCGUCGAGCAAAGUGGACCACCUCUCUUCCUGAGACAUGGACUAAGCCGAUUUUACGAAGGAUCACCGGGAUGCGGAUCCUGAUGCGCUUGCACAAUAAGGCUUGGUUGCCCCUAUGGCUGACGUCUGACAGGGGCGAAGGUGAUAGUG
rnacentral:misc_RNA from 1 species